UCAGUAAUAGUACGCAAUGUUUCAAUCAAAUUAAUUUUUGUUUUUAAAUCGUCAAUUCCAGGAAGAUAGGUCAUUACAUGUUGGACUAAACUUGUCAUCGAUUGUUUCAGUUGGCCAUGCUUUUUAAAGAGACUAACCAACUGUUCGUUUAAGCCUUGGAAAUCACCAGCUCGAAAGAGCAAAUCAGCAAUGUAUAUUAAUACUUUCGUAUUCGUGC